GGUAUAUCGGUAUAUAGUGGUAUAAUCGUCAAUGUGUCGGAUGUUCACUUGGCUAAUUGUAUCUAUUUUUGUGUGUUUUUAGAUCUAAGCUCCACUCUUGUGCUUCAAGCCGAUGUUUAAUUCGUAGUGGCAGCUGGUGAUGUGUGCGCCCUGGUGGUAAUGUUGGCAGAAAUGACUAACCACGCGAAGGGACAGAACAGAAGCAUCACAUGAACUGUAUCCUGUGCGCCCGGUACCAGGUGAGUAUGCCUAUUGGCCACAGAAUUGUCUGUAUGUGUUUCAGAUUCUCAAAAAUAAUUAGUUGCUACUACUGAUCGACUACAAUUUCUUUGACUUCAUACAGCAGCGGAAGCAGCACCGCCUGAUGAUGCUCCACUGCACAAUACGAGCCCCGGUCCAGACAGGCAAUGAACGCCAGCGGAUAUGCGAAAAGGCGACAUGGCACUUGCAAAGAUCCUAUGGUGGUGGGAAAUGCGCAAAGGCUAUGAGUGCAUGCCCAGGACCUCAAGGCUGCACAGUGCCCAUCGACGAUGGGUGGUGACCAUUCGAUCCAGUUCCAGCCACGGCAUCAGCAAAGUUAAUUUUGAACUCUAAACAACCACACAGGCCUGUGUCAAAAGAAUGACCUGGCUCUUCGAACUGGCAAGACGUAUGGUCUCUUCUUUUCAUUGAAUUUUUCCAGUCCUGAUUGACC
rnacentral:lncRNA from 1 species